rnacentral:lncRNA from 1 species
AUGCCCUCCCCUGCAGAGUCCCUUCCCGACCCCCAUGUGCUUCACGAGGGCAAGGCUUUGCGCUCCUGGGACCAUCAUGCUUUUCCUCAUGUGCUGAAAGGCCCAGCCCGCUUCUGCUUCAUCUCUGCCCCUGCUGUCCUGGGAGAAGUUUCUUCUCAGACCACACUGAAAAUAUCCAAACACUUCCCACUGCACAACGGUAAACCUGUCUUCCCUAAUGAACAGCUUUCAUUUAGGCUCGGGGAAGAAGGUGCGCGCCGGGGCUGGGUAUCGGCAGGCGGCCACGUCGCAGGAUCUCAGGCUUGGCAUUCACGGCUCCUCUGGGACCCCACGCGACCAGCACAGCACUUCUUACUGUGGCAAAACACAUAUAACAUAAAAUUUACCAUCGUCGCUAUUUUGAAGUGCCCACUUCAGGGGUAUUAAACACAUUCUUGUGCAAGCAUCACCAGCACCCACCCCUAGAACUCAUUCACCUCAGAAAACCAAAAGUCUGUCUCCUUAAAAGACUAGCUCUCCCCCCGCCCCCGGCCACCCCACCCAGCCCCUGGCACCCACCACGGCAGUUUGUCUUUAUGAUUUUGACUUCUCUGAAUCAGCAAAUGACUUUUUGAUGUUUUGAACCAGGAAGGAGAGUUUGAAGAAGUCAAGAUUUAUGCUGACCCAGAUGUCACAGCUGUUCCUGCGAUGUCCCCACCAGAUGGUUCCCAGACCCUCUUGCACACCUGCAGUGAUCUCUGCCCACCAUGUCCCAAUUCAGCCCAUUGCUGAGCCUCUGCAGGAGAAGGACACUCUGACAUUCAGGCCGCCAAGCUCCCGGCCCUGCCGUUCCUGAUCCCACAGGGUUUACUGAGCAUCUACUGCACCCGGGGCCCUGUGCUGAGGCUGGCAGACACUGGAACAGACCCCAGCCCCCCGUGUCAGCUGGAAGGCUCUGCACCUGCUGUAGUGAGUGAGCAGCACCCCGCAUGGGCAUCUGCUCACUGUGGGCACCAUCCCACGGCCCACUGGCCCUAGCACUCAGGAGGCUGCUGCAUGCUGAGCCUGAAGUCCUGGCUCACUGGGGGGUCCUCCGAGAAGCACACAUAGGGACGAAUUAGAUGUGUGGCCUUAGCUGUCCAGGGCAUACUGUGGUGGAAGGUAAGUAGCAGGUGCGGCCAGGGAGAGCCUUCUGACUGGGAUGCAGUCCUGACCCUGUGAGAGGGAAGGAGGACUGGGUGGGAGGAGCCCCAGGGCAGCGCAGCCCAGCCAGGGAGUCUGGGUGGCUGGUGGGGGCCUGAGUGAAGACCGCCAGGAGGGGAGGUACACUGGGUGGGGCUGGCCCUGGUGCCCCCUGUGUGAUUCCUGGCUCCUGGUCAGUGCUUUCUGUGUGUGGCUCCCAGGAAUCAGCAUCUCAGAGGGACCAGAGGGGCCCAGGGCAGCCCUUGUUCACUUCACAGAGGAAGCAUGGGGCUUAGGAGAAGGGGUCCCAGCUGGAGCUGCCGCCUGCCCCUGGCCCUUCAUGACUGCAUGCGGGUCCGCGGCAUUGCUGAGUGUUGAACUCACUGGGGGACAGUGAGGAGACACACCUGGCCCGGCAGAGAUGAGCAGGUCCCUGGGGCCCCCAGCUGUGUGUUCAAUGAGAAAGUGGUCCAUUAACGAAACACACAGAGAACUGGCCCCAGGGCGGCCCCUCUGUGCAGCCCGGCCGGUGCCCUGGAAGGAUGUGGUCGAGCAGCCCAGCAGGAGGAGCAGGGGCUCCGGGAGGACCCCAGGUUCUUGGGUGGAUGGCACUGGCCAGGCUCAUGACUGUGGGUUCAGCUGGGGUUGGGCUGAGUGAUGUUUUGGGGCCCCUUGCCAGCAGGGUGCCAGCCUCUGCCCAGGCUCCCCUCACCGGCCCACCCUCAGCCCCCUGUCUUCAUCUCCACCAGCCCCUUCUUGUCAGUGGGGUCUGGGCAGGUGAGAGUCCUACGACAGCGUGCAGAGGCUUGAUGGAGCAGCCGGGAGGUCCGGGUGCAGGCCUGUUCGGUCUACAUCAGCUGUGUGGCCACCUGGCAGCUCAACAGGGAAUGGGGGCCCCUGCUCUAUGGCAGAGCUUGUCCAGUCAGCUCAUGGGUGCUGGCGGGGCUUGAGGGCUGAGGGCCAGGCAUGCGAGGAGGGCCGAGUAGGGGACAGCCCUGCACCGAAUGCUGGCCAGGAGGCCCCUGGGGUGGUUCCGGGGGGACAGCAUCACUCUUCUUGGGUGCCCCUGAAGCAGCCACAAAAACUAGCAGUAAAAAACCUUUUUGUUGCCUUUCCAGCCCAGACAAAAUCAAUAAAUUCUGGAAACAUGAGAACA